GGCGACCGCAAAAGGCAGGUGCCCAGCCACUAACUUCGGGCUCUGGGCCGAGGGCCGCUCCCCUGAGAAGAGGCCAGUUUGGAGGCCGCGGCAGGCAGCGUUUCCCGCCCUGCUGGUCUCCGGGGUGGCGCUCACUGCGAUCCCAGGAGGGUCGGCUAACAUCUUCCUUUUACAGACCAGGGAUUGAAGCAGGACAGACUGGGAGUUGCCGUUCCUCUCAUUCCUUCCCCAUCAGUCAGGGGUGCCUGAGAGAUGACGUCCACCCAGACGUAAAGCAGAUGGUUUUUCUAUGGGAAGCAAGGCCCGUGAGAACGUUCUUUCCUGGAACUCCCAAAUCAUGGACAUUAGUCAACAGCCAUGCCACAGCCUACCCGGACAUACUAUGUUCAUGUAGAGUCAUGUAUUCAUCUCCAGCUGUAGAAAAGAAUAUAUCAAAGCCCAUGUUUCUACACUGACUACCAGAGUUAUUGUUCUGCCUCAGUGUAGACCAACAGCUUAACUCCACUUCAACCCCUAGCCUGGGGGACGUCCAUAGGCUGCGGGUGCAGCAAGGAAAAAAGGACAAAGAAAUAGCGUCUUGAGAACACUGGCUUGAGAUGGGAAGAAAUCAGGGCUGCAGGGCCGUAGGGGGAGGUGUGUGUCUGCUCCACUACACAGCAGCAGCGACGUAAGCAUCAGAAAUUAGGCAGGAAGGUUACAGAGACACCCUCCCAUCCCCAUUUAAGACUGGAAAUAGGAUGAAGUUGAAGGGAAGGGGUGAGAGCAGAGCUGGGCCCCUUCCAGCCGUCACCACAGGCCUGGGGCUGCACCCCGGCGGGAGGCUGCUCACUGGGACCCCUGGGUUCUGACCAACAGGAGGGCAGCCCAGCCUGCCCCUAACUCCACAGGGCCAGUGGGCGCUGUCCAGCGGGGCCUCCACUGGGGGCUGCCACCUGGCUGGAGGAAACAGGGCGAGCUCUCAAAACUGUAAGUGCUCCCUCUCGAGCCCACCAGAGGCUUCCUAGGGUUUCAUGGUCUCCCUCGCAGGCCUCUCUGCUGUGUUUGCUAUCAUGACAGGGCCACUUACCAUUGCCCGCCAUGGUCCUUCGGGAGUUAAUGCCAGACAGCUGCCUCGGAGACACUGGCUCUCUGCUGAUGGAGCCAGGCUGGGGGGAGCCUGUCCCUGUGGGAAUGUAUAAAGGCCACCCAGGGGGACCAGCCAUCCUGCCUCAGAGUCCCCCUGAGGAGGAGCCAGCUGUCUGCUCCCUCCCUGAGUUGCGCAGUAGACCCAAGUCCACGUCCGGGUUGUGAUAACUAUUCAGCCGGCCAGCAAGGCUUUUGAAGCAAAACGGUCUAACUGGAGUUGGAGAAGGACAGCAUCCAGAAACACCAGUUCCGUAGGGGGUGAGCUGCAAGGAACAAGCAAGAAGCUCAUACACUAUGCAUCGCCAGGAGUUCCCAUCGUGGCACAGCGGAAAUGAAUCUGACUAGGAACCAUGAGGUUUCAGGUUCGAUCCCUGGCCUCAAUCAGCAGGUUAAGGAUCUGGCGUUGCCAUGAGUUGUGGUGAAGGUUGCAGACGCGGCUCGGAUCUGGUGGUGGUGUAGGCCAGCAGCUGUAGCUCCGAUUAGACCCCUAGCCUGGGAACCUCCAUAUGCCAUGGGUAUGGCCCUAAAGAGACCAAAAAAAAAAAAAAAAAAAAAAAACAUCGCCAAAGAGGGUCACUGGGCCCUGAGCAUGUGCUCUCAACACCCCCACUCCACCCUUCUGCACAGCAUUGAAAGCUUCCUGGAGGAGAAGGCCCCUUACAGAGGCCUGAGGGGAGGGAAGUCUGUCUAAGCAAAACAUGGACAAAAUGUAUCUGCUGCAAAUUACAAGAAGCUGAUGAAAGAUCAAAGAAGAACUAACUAAAUGGAGACAUGUUAUCAUGUUCACGGACUGGAGGAUUCAACUUUUCCCCAAAUUAAUUUAAAGGUUUAAUGCAAUUCCUAUCAAAAUUCAAAAAAGAAUGUUGGCAGAAACAGGUAAGCUUAUUCUGAAAUUUAUACUGACAAGAGAGCAGGAGGUCUGGCUUGCGAGUGGCCACUUCUCUGUUGCGUGUGGGGAAAGAAUAAAUUUAAAGUGGGUGAUGUUGAGAAGGGCAAGAAGAUUCUUGUUGGGAAGUGUCCUCAGUGCUGUACCGUGGAGGAGGAAGGCAAGCACAAGACUGGCUCCAACCUCCAUGGUCUGGUUGGACUGAAGACGGGCCAGCCUCCUUGGAUUCACUCACCCGAGGAGAGGAGACGCUGGCGGAGACGUGGACAAUCCCGCAAAGGACCUCCCUGGAACAAAAAUGCUCUUUGCUGCCCUUAGGAAGCGGGGAGAAGGGAAGACGUGGUAGCUUAUCUCAAGAAAGCUCCUGAUGAGAACAGAGUGCCGUCGUGGCUCAGUGGUCACGAACCCAACUGGUAUCCAUGAGCAUGUGGGUUCAAGUCUUGGCCUUGCUCAGUGGGUUAAGGAACUGGCAUUGCCGGGAGCUGUGGUGUAGGUCGCAGACACAGCUCGGAUCUGGCGUUGCUGUGGCUGUGGUGUAGGCCGGCAGCUACAGCUCUGAAUAGACCCCUUGCCUGGGUAUGGCCCUCAAGAAAAGACAAAACAAAACCCUGUAGGCGAUUGGUUUUAUAUAUAGAUUUCUAGAACUCGUUUUAUUAAUAUGUUUAAAUACUGAGAAGAUCCCUUUACGGUCUCAGAACAGAGCAAGAUUCACCUGCGUUUCAAGCUCUGUUCACUAACCUGUUAAGGCAAGAGUGGAGGAUAAAUUGACACCGUCCCCUGUAUCUUUUUGGUCUUAAUGAUGCUAAUUUCAUUAAAAGUUCUCUGUGUCUAAA
rnacentral:lncRNA from 9 species